rnacentral:rRNA from 1 species
UACGUAGGGUGCAAGCGUUAAUCGGAAUUACUGGGCGUAAAGCGUGCGCAGGCGGUUUCGUAAGUCUGUCGUGAAAGCCCCGGGCUCAACCUGGGAAUUGCGAUGGAGACUGCGAGGCUAGAGUGUGUCAGAGGGGGGGUAGAAUUCCACGUGUAGCAGUGAAAUGCGUAGAUAUGUGGAGGAACACCGAUGGCGAAGGCAGCCCCCUGGGAUAACACUGACGCUCAUGCACGAAAGCGUGGGGAGCAAACAGG